CAUGUCUGUCCUUUUUCCUCCAUGUGAACUGGUCAAAGCAACUUCCCCAAAUGUAGGUUAAGGGAGAAGCAGUGAAGCCAUAAGUGUAGGUACAGUAAGGAUUUGGUCCACCCGCUCAUGCACUCUCCUUGUACCUUCUGGACUUGCUCAGACCUGAUCUCAUAUGCACUCUUUAAGAACAGAAUGCUACCAAAAAGAAAAAGAACAGAAUGCUACCGUGCAUGUCCAAUUGCAUGUUUGAUGGAUCAGAUAAUAUCCAGUUCUUGCUAUGGGUCACUUGUUGUCCCACAGUGAGAUAUUCAGUCUCUUAGUGUCCAGUUGUGAGCCAGGAACUGUUUUAAAGUGCAGACUGAUUACUGGCAGAGAGGGCAUGAAUUAAUGCCAGACCCCAAGGGUCUGUAACUCUGCUGCGACACGCCUAUGGAACUUGUCCAUACAGCAUCUUUUUCUGCCAUACUCACUUGCAAAUCAUAAAGCUCAUGUGACAGGGCAGCUUGCUCUGCAGUCUGGACCUGCUGCAGUCUUAUGUUGCUGCAGGCCUCACUCAAAACUUGCAGUCCUAUGGGUUUCCCAGUAAAUGGGUAGAACAACACUGACAGAUCCUAUAUAAUAAGAGCCUAAUAUGCUAAGUGUCUGGUCAUCCAGUCAGCCAUUCAACCAGUCAAAGCAUAAUAUGCUAAUGAUAUGCUAAGGCCGCUCAACUGCUCGCUAUGACGUGCACUGACUACCAGGGGGCAGAUGCUCCAACCGGUAGGUUAGCUUGCUGCUGGGGUCUGGCCGAUAGGGACUGAGCAAGACAGGCUGGACACACCCUGGAACCCUCCCGAUGUCCCUCCCCACCAGGGGGCAGAUGCAGUGAGCAGGCGGGUGGUAAGGAGCGAGGGGUCCUGGACUGCAAGAGGGUGCAGACCAGGCUGAGGGACCCCCACCCCCCACCCCCAGUGCACGAAUUUCGUGCACCAGUCCUCUAGUAUGUUAUAUGUUGCCUCAAAAAUCCAGAGUCCCAUCCAACAUUCUGCUUCUUUCUUUAUAAUGGGCAAUAAAGUUUCAACAAUUGCCUUUCACUUUAGAGGAGAUAUUCCAACAUGCCCCAGAUCACUGAAUAUUCCAAAAAGUUUAUUGACAUGACAUGCCUCUCCAUUUUUGUGAGAUUUAUUACCCUUCCCUUGACAUACAUAUGUUCUACUAAGAAUCUAAAGUGUUUGCAAUUUCCUGCUCAGUGGGCCCAAUUAUCAUAAGUCAUCAAUAUAAUGGACCAGCAUAAUGUUUUGAACUAUAGCAAGGUGACCUAUGUCCCUUUGGACUGUAAUAUGACAGAAAUCGGGAGACAAAGCCCUGAGGUCGUAGAGUGAAGAUGUACUGCUGUCCCAGAUACACAAAGGCAAACUAUUUCUGAUUAUCUUUACUGAGCGGAAUGGAAAAGAAAGCACUUGGGAUCAAGAUGUACAUCAGGCCCAAAGUGGUGUUGACGUGUUCCAGUAAAAAUGUCAUGUCUAGAACCACAGCUGCAAUUGACAUCCCACCUAUCUUCACAGUAAUCUAUGGUCAUUCUCCAAGGCCCACCUGGUUGUUACACCAGCCAAGUAGCACCACAUCUGGAGGAUUCAUUCAUGACUCAAACCUUUAUUCUUGAAGAAUCACAACCCUUGGGUGUAUUUCCACCCAUGGAGGGGUGAAAAUCCUCCAUUUACUUUUACUACUGGACCCAGGAGAACAAGGAGACAUCACAGGUGAUCCCACCCAACCUGGGCUCUCUCCAGAUUUCUCCCCAACUCUACUUUAUAGCAGCCUCCACUUCUUUUUCAUAGUCAAGGUCAACACCCCAGCCAAUACCAUAAUCCACCUGAUUACUUAUUUUCUCAGUGGCCAGUGACAGUCUCAGCUCCUAUUCAGAUAAGUCAUUUUUGCAUCUCUCAAGGGACCCAGUUCCCCACUGGGUGGUAAGGAUGUACAAUUCCAAUCUCUGCCCCCCCCCAUGCCCCCCACUCUCAGGCUCACAUAUUUGACCCCAGGAGAACUAGCACCAUAUGUUGGUACUGGUUCAGCAUGCUCCACAAUCUGCAGACCAGCAGGUCCCACAGGUGGUUCCUCUCAGCUCACAUAGUAACCGAGCCUGCAGGAGGGUGUUCCGCCAUGCGUUAAGGCCACCUGGUCCUGGAUAAUGGGUACAAGGAAAGACCAGGGAACCCCAUGGGCACUGGCCUAUUAGCAUACAUCUUUGGUUUUCAUAGGAACAUGAGCUUCUUGGUGUUGGACAAUGCCUAACAGUGGCAUCAGUAGGUUUAUGAGUGGAGGUGCAGAGGGAGGCAGCGGGAGGAUGAGAAAGCAAAUCCAACUCUACAAUAGGAUCCAUUGCAGGUGGACAAAUGGCUGCCCCUCCAUGGAGGGAGUUUGUGUAAUCAGACUGUGAAGUCAGAAAAAAAUUAUAUAGAGAGAUAUAUAUUCUGCCCCUGGGUUCCUGGCACAGAGCCCCUAAACCCUUUUUUCAUAAGUGAUAGGAGCAUCUUUUGUUCUAUUAAGAUGACUUUGGGUGGGCUAUUGGAUGGCUCCUGGGUGGGGGCUGGUCACCAAAAAACAAAACAAAA